UGCCCUAGUAACGGCGAGUGAAGCGGCAACAGCUCAAAUUUGAAAUCUGGCUUUCGGGCCCGAGUUGUAAUUUGUAGAGGAUGAUUUUGAUGCGGUGCCUUCCGAGUUCCCUGGAACGGGACGCCAUAGAGGGUGAGAGCCCCGUCUGGUUGGAUGCCAAAUCUCUGUAAAUCUCCUUCGACGAGUCGAGUAGUUUGGGAAUGCUGCUCUAAAUGGGAGGUAUAUGUCUUCUAAAGCUAAAUACCGGCCAGAGACCGAUAGCGCACAAGUAGAGUGAUCGAAAGAUGAAAAGCACUUUGAAAAGAGAGUUAAAAAGUACGUGAAAUUGUUGAAAGGGAAGCGUUUAUGACCAGACUUGGGCUUGGUUAAUCAUCUGGGGUUCUCUCCAGUGCACUUUUCCAGUCCAGGCCAGCAUCAGUUUUCGCCGGGGGAUAAAGGCUUCGGGAAUGUGGCUCCCCUCGGGGAGUGUUAUAGCCCGUUGUGUAAUACCCUGGUGGGGACUGAGGUUCGCGCUUCUGCAAGGAUGCUGGCGUAAUGGUCAUCAACGACCCGUCUUGAAACACGGACCAAGGAGUCGUCUUCGUAUGCGAGUGUUCGGGUGUCAAACCCCUACGCGUAAUGAAAGUGAACGCAGGUGAGAGCUUCGGCGCAUCAUCGACCGAUCCUGAUGUUCUCGGAUGGAUUUGAGUAAGAGCAUACGGGGCCGGACCCGAAAGAAGGUGAACUAUGCCUGUGUAGGGUGAAGCCAGAGGAAACUCUGGUGGAGGCUCGCAGCGGUUCUGACGUGCAAAUCGAUCGUCAAACAUGGGCAUG
rnacentral:rRNA from 2 species